CAGACUUACAGAAAUCCACCUACCUCUGUGUCCAAGUCCUAGGAUUAAAGGUGUGCUCCACCAUGCCUGGCUCUUUGCUUUGUAUUUUGACAAGUUGACUAUAAUGUGCCACAGAGAUGUUCUUUUCUGUUCAUUUUUGCAGGGGGUUUCAUUUGCUUCCUGUGUCUGAGGUUGGGUUGUUUCUAUGGUUUGAGGAAUUUCUGCUGUGUGUUCAUGCUGAGCUUCUCAACCUGCGAAUGCUUGGGCUUGGUCUCUUGGCCAUAUCCCAGGAUUCUUGGACACGUGGCUAUUCUCCUGGUUGUUGUCUGAAUACAGCAUUCUUUUACUCUGAUGUCCUUUCUUUUGUGAGUCUGCUGGAUUCCCAUUGUGUUUUUUCAUUUAAUUAGCUGAAAUUUUCAUCUCCAGCCUUUCUAUUUCAUUUUUUUUUGUCUCAAGAUUCAGUUUCCUUGACGAACUUUUCUUGAAUGUUGCUAGUUUUUUCUUUUGCUGACUUUUUCCUUAAUAUCACUGCUUUUCUCUUUCAGGUUCAGGAUGGGAUUCACCUGCUCAUUUGAAUUUUCCUUGAGGUACAGGGCACAGGGCCGUGUGCCAGAAAACUCCCUUCCCACGUGCUCUCUCUGCCAGGCAAGAUUGGCUUCACUCAGUGAGUUCCCCUUUUUGCUUAUGCUGGUAGGGUUUGGGGUGACCCAUUCGCAUUUUGAAUUUUCCGCUGAAGUUGUGGGCCCUGGAAACCUGACCUGUGCAACAGAAGCCAGGGGCUUUUGCUGGGGUGAAGAUUUCUUGGCCAGGGACACCUGCCAUUCAAUUUUCACAGCCCAGUUUUCGACUCAAGAGUUGUCCCAGCAGACCGCUGUGACAGACUUGAGCUCCAUGAUUGGGCAUAGACUUUUAAAAUGGGUUUCUUGCGAUUUUAGGUCGAUUCCUAAAACACCCUUAGAUGGCCUUUUACAAAAAAUUCUUUUAAAUUGGGGCUAUCUAACAUAAAUUUUCUAAACAUAAAGUUUCUACAUGCAUGCUCCUGUUCCCACCCCCCUCUGCUUCUCCUCCACAGCCCAUGGUUUGUCCUGCCCCACUUCCACUUCUCCAAAGCCCUCGGGGCUCUGACUCUGUGCUCAGAGGCUUGUCCGGCUCCUGUUCCUGUCCUGUUCUGGAUUCGGGGAUCUAAUCCCGACUCCCUUUCCAUUGCCCAUCCCUUCUAAAGGGAGCUCGCCCAUCAACUGUUUGCUGUGCUUCACUGGCCUCCCUCUGCCAUCUAUGCUGGGACCUCUUUCCUGUCCCCGUUCUGCUUGCUGUUUGUAUCACUUUAGCCCCCACCUCCAAGCUGUUUACUGUUUCUCUCACUCUGGGAUUUUAAAAAAUUCAUUUUUUCCCCAUGUCCUUCUACUCUAAAACUCUGUAAAUGUUUAGUCCUUAUGUUUCUGUUCCCUCUUACAGCGUUUGCUAAUCUGGCUCUUAGUGAGACCACCUCUGUACUUUACUGGCUUUUGCCACCUACCUAUGCCAAAAAUUUUAAGUUGGUCAGCUGACACAGGUUUCCAAAAGUGUUUUAUUUGUCUGUCUGUUAGAAUGAUGUGGUGCACAGUAUGUCUGUGUAAGUAUGUGAAUUUAUAUUUUUAUGUGCAUGUGUGCUUGUUUUAAGAUAAUUCCAGACUAAAACAGCUCUGGAAAAAUACAAACACAUGGGUAGCCUCCAUUUAAACCUCAUCACCAUCUUCGGUAAGUGUACCCAUGUGUGCUAGUCCGCCAUCUUUGGUAAGGGUACCCAUGUGUACUAGUUCACCAUCUUUGGUAAGGGUACCCAUGUGUGCUAGUUCACCAUCUUUGGUAAGGGUACCCGUGUGUACUAGUUCACCAUCUUUGGUAAUGGUACCCAUGUGUACUAGUUCACCAUCUUUGGUAAGGAUACCCAUGUGUGCUAGUCCGCCAUCUUUGGUAAGGGUACCCAUGUGUGCUAGUUCACCAUCUUUGGUAAGGGUACCCAUGUGUACUAGUUCACCAUCUUUGGUGAGAGUACCCACAUCUGCUAGUAAUCUUUAACUUAUUAAAAUAUUCCUUUUAAUCUUCUUACAUUUACUAGCAUUGGUAAACUGUAACUAACUGGAUAAAAUACACAACUAAAUUUAGCAUAUGCCCAGUUUGAAAUAACAGGUAAUGGUACCUAAUUCUCAAGUGCCUUUACAGAUCUGCGGGUAUGGCAUUUUAACAAAAGAGCUUCUAACACAUAGACAUGCCAGCUUCUGCAGCACCCUUUAGGUCCUAAAGAAGACCUUCUGCCUCCAGGCCUUGCCUUUGGGUUUGGUAAAAACCUACCCACACAGCAAAAAGCAGCCUUUCACCUCUUCAACUUCCUGAAUGCCUUCCAGGGAAUUGAUCUUUUUAUCCUGCAAAGACAGGUAGACUAAAUCUUCCCCCUACAGGACAAAUCUUUGGGCCUCUUGUACUAACGGCAAGCACUGCUUCUACGACCGCUGUUCGCCAAGGACUAAGGAGAGGAAUUGGGAUUGCCUGUGUAGCUAAAAAAGCUGUCUCAUUUUUGCUCAUUUAUCCUUCCCAGAUCUGUCUAAUGGCAUUUGACGACUUAAGGUACUGUUAACUUACUACUUCAUUCAUGACAUUUAAUGAAGUUUCCUGCUAAAAUACGGACAGGUGUGCCUAACAGGUUUCAGGUGUGUCUUAAAAAAUCCAGGGUUCCCAAUUUCUUUAAUUGUCUUAACCUAAAGCAAUAGCCUUUUGUUAUGACACUAAGAUGUAAAUCUGUUCCAUUCUCUUACAGGUUCUGGGAAAAGUUCUGCUACAUUAACCCCAGUCAGUUUCAAGCAUAUUUUACAGGUCACUCCUGCUGCCUGGGCCAAGACUAACUUACAAAGCGCUCUUCAGACAAUGCCAAACACCUGUAACAGCUCCUGGAACUUCACCAUUGGUACCAACUCUCCUAGAUCAAGGACACCUGCCAACUAAAAUCUGGUUUCAUCUGCUAUUGUGUCCCAUCCCAUGGCUAAUCACAUUUCGUAGGGCCAAUAAUAACAAUAUUUUUUUUUCUCCUAGCCACCUACCUUC